AUCCUAUAUCUCUCUUGUAUGUGCUGGAAAGGAAAACAGCAAUUGUUGAAAACGCUAGACAUUGCUCUGCUUCCUAUAGGUCCCACCCAUAAACCAUAUUUUCUUUUGGAUUUCCUCAAACUUCCUGUUGCCAGGUGAGCCAUUCAAUAGAUACAGCCUGAAGUCACCACAGCUGACAUUUCCCAUUAAUUUCAUAUUUUUCCUCUAUUUGGGCAAUAUGUUUAAGACAAGCUGUUUCAGUUUUUAUUUAAUUUUAGUGAAAAUUACAGUCCCUUUACACACGUCUUAGAGCCACAGGAUAAAGACAAUUUAAAGCUGAAAGGAUGGAUCUGUUUCCACAGUAACCUAAGGUUAUACAAGUGAUAUCUUUCCAAACCAGUAAAAAAGGAAGCCUUCUAUUGCCUCCUUAUGGUGAAAAGGUUUCAGCCUUUAAAAAAAAAAAAAAAAAAGCCAGAGCAAGUCAAGGCUCAGUGUCAUUGCUUACUUAUAUAUUCACCAAUCACUCAGCUGGGAAGAGAAGUGCUACUUUGGAAUUUUCCUGCAUUCCAGAGUUCACUAAUGCAAUCCACUUCCACAACAACUUCUUUGCUCUAUCCAAGGUUCCCCCUUAGGAGAUCUCUCAAGAAAAAGGCACUCUCACACUGUCAGCAUCCUAUUCUUGUCACAGAGAAUUCUUAAUAGAUAUUUUAAAGAAGCCAGUGUUCCCCACAGAUACUGUGCAAACAAUACAAUACCAAAUUAGAUCAUUUAUUCCAUACCUGAGGUAGAGAUGUUCCUGAUUCCUGAAUGGAUGUCUUCACUGAUUCUCCUGGGGGGGGGGGGGGGGGGUGAGAGAGAGAAACCAUUUACAAAGCUGAAGGAGAACUAAGCACACUCCCAUGCUGACUGGGUUUCUUUAUAUCUCAGCUGUCCUCUUCCCCUAUUUUCUUCCCCUUACUGUGUCUUCUUUC
rnacentral:lncRNA from 1 species